rnacentral:rRNA from 1 species
AUUGAACGCUGGCGGCAGGCCUAACACAUGCAAGUCGAACGGUAACAGAAAGCAGCUUGCUGCUUUGCUGACGAGUGGCGGACGGGUGAGUAAUGUCUGGGAAGCUGCCUGAUGGAGGGGGAUAACUACUGGAAACGGUAGCUAAUACCGCAUAACGUCGCAAGACCAAAGAGGGGGACCUUCGGGCCUCUUGCCAUCGGAUGUGCCCAGAUGGGAUUAGCUUGUUGGUGGGGUAACGGCUCACCAAGGCGACGAUCCCUAGCUGGUCUGAGAGGAUGACCAGCCACACUGGAACUGAGACACGGUCCAGACUCCUACGGGAGGCAGCAGUGGGGAAUAUUGCACAAUGGGCGCAAGCCUGAUGCAGCCAUGCCGCGUGUAUGAAGAAGGCCUUCGGGUUGUAAAGUACUUUCAGCGGGGAGGAAGGGAGUAAAGUUAAUACCUUUGCUCAUUGACGUUACCCGCAGAAGAAGCACCGGCUAACUCCGUG